rnacentral:rRNA from 1 species
GACGAACGCUGGCGGCGUGCUUAACACAUGCAAGUCGAACGGAAAGGCCCUGCUUUUGUGGGGUGCUCGAGUGGCGAACGGGUGAGUAACACGUGAGUAACCUGCCCUUGACUUUGGGAUAACUUCAGGAAACUGGGGCUAAUACCGGAUAGGAGCUCCUGCUGCAUGGUGGGGGUUGGAAAGUUUCGGCGGUUGGGGAUGGACUCGCGGCUUAUCAGCUUGUUGGUGGGGUAGUGGCUUACCAAGGCUUUGACGGGUAGCCGGCCUGAGAGGGUGACCGGCCACAUUGGGACUGAGAUACGGCCCAGACUCCUACGGGAGGCAGCAGUGGGGAAUAUUGCACAAUGGGCGGAAGCCUGAUGCAGCAACGCCGCGCGCGGGAUGACGGCCUUCGGGUUGUAAACCGCUUUCGCCUGUGACGAAGCGUGAGUGACGGUAAUGGGUAAAGAAGCACCGGCUAACUACGUGCCAUCAUCCGCGGUGAUACGUAGGGUGCGAGCGUUGUCCGGAUUUAUUGGGCGUAAAGGGCUCGUAGGUGGUUGAUCGCGUCGGAAGUGUAAUCUUGGGGCUUAACCCUGAGCGUGCUCCCCCCCCCGGUUGACUUGAGGAAGGUAGGGGAGAAUGGAAUUCCUGGUGGAGCGGUGGAAUGCGCAGAUAUCAGGAGGAACACCAGUGGCGUAGGCGGUUCUCUGGGCCUUUCCUGACGCUGAGGAGCGAAAGCGUGGGGAGCGAACAGGCUUAGAUACCCUGGUAGUCCACGCUGUAAACGGUGGGUACUAGGUGUGGGGUCCAUUCCACGGGUUCCGUGCCGUAGCUAACGCUUUAAGUACCCCGCCUGGGGAGUACGGCCGCAAGGCUAAAACUCAAAGGAAUUGACGGGGCCCCGCACAAGCGGCGGAGCAUGCGGAUUAAUUCGAUGCAACGCGUAGAACCUUACCUGGGUCUGACAUGGAUCGGGAGUGCUCAGAGAUGGGUGUGCCUCUUUUGGGGUCGGUUCACAGGUGGUGCAUGCCUGUCGUCAGCUCGUGUCGUGAGAUGUUGGGUUAAGUCCCGCAACGAGCGCAACCCUUGUUCACUGUUGCCAGCACGUUAUGGUGGGGACUCAGUGGAGACCGCCGGGGUCAACUCGGAGGAAGGUGGGGAUGACGUCAAGUCAUCAUGCCCCUUAUGUCCAGGGCUUCACGCAUGCUACAAUGGCUGGUACAGAGAGUGGCGAGCCUGUGAGGGUGAGCGAAUCUCGGAAAGCCGGUCUCAGUUCGGAUUGGGGUCUGCAACUCGACCUCAUGAAGUCGGAGUCGCUAGUAAUCGCAGAUCAGCAACGCUGCGGUGAAUACGUUCCCGGG